rnacentral:lncRNA from 1 species
UACUUCUUACAAUAGAAGCACUCUGUCUGACUUUGGUCAGACUUGGACUUGAACUUCUGGGUCUGGCUCCUAGUACUUUGUACCUUUUUAUUCUUCUUUUUCUUUUCUUUCUUAAAGGGACAAUACCCAUCCGAAGAAGAUCCUCACAUUAUAUUCACCAUCUCCUUAUGGAGCUGGUGAUCCUUCUCAAAAGUCUAUAGCAACCCCAACAGAUCGUAGUAGUUUACUACGGACUUCGUCAUUCGAUAAUGACUGAAAAAUGGUAGGU